AGUGAACGUUGGCGGCGUGGAUUAGGCAUGCAAGUCGAGCGAGAACCGUAGCAAUACGGGGACAGCGGCGAAAGGGACAGUAAUGUGUAGGUACCUACCUCCGGGUUCGGGAUAGCUGCGGGAAACUGGAGGUAAUACAGACUAACGACUCCGGACCCAAGGUGUGAUUCCACCUGGAGAAGGGCCUGCAUCCUAUUAGCUUGUUGGCGGGGUAACGGCCGACCAAGGCGACGAUGGGUAGCGGGUGUGAGAGCACGACCCGCGUCUUUGGCACUGAGACACUGCCCAGACACCUACGGGUGGCUGCAGUCGUGAAUCUUCGGCAAUGGGCGCAAGCCUGACCGAGCGACGCCGCGUGCGGGAUGAAGGCCUUCGGGUUGUAAACCGCUGUCGUAGAGGAGGAAAUGCAGGGGGGUUCUCCCCUCUGUUUGACCUAUUCUAGGAGGAAGUACGGGCUAAGUUCGUGCCAGCCGCCGCCGUAA
rnacentral:rRNA from 1 species